AUGAACCACAGCAAGGUCAUAUCCACAGUUAAGCACAUCCCUGACACAGCGCUCCGCUCCUCCCCUCCUGCUCCCCGGGUCUGGGAAGCACCAGGAGUGAAUUUCCACCUGCGCUUCUCGCUCUGGCUCCCUCUGGGCUGUUCAAACCAGCCCGUUUGCUCCAAAUCCAGGCACUUUUCCUCGGCGCAGCACCAGUGUGACGCACAGCGCUGGGACGCCUGGGCACUGGGAUCGCCGGUAGCGUGGCAACAGGCACCAGGCAACGUACAAUCCUCACACUCCCAUGGAAGAGGGCUGAUAAAGUUCUGCAGAAGUUUCCAGCCCCGAGGUCGCAUUUCUCCUCCUGAGCCACGCUGCUGAGUUCUGCUGGGACCCGAGUCACGCACCGCAGCGAGAAGAAGGAAGAGAACAGGCUGCAAGUACACGCAGGACAAAAUUGUUCACUUGAAAUAUUCAGGAGAGUCCUAAUGAAUAAUGAAUAUAUCUGUAGAAAUGGGUCUCAAUCACAGACAAAACAAUGGUUAAAUUAAUCAGGUAAUUUAAUGGCAAGGAGCAAUUUUGACACCUCGUCUCACUGAUGCUACUUAAAUGGCCUUUCUCGGAGACAGCUAGCUUAUUCUUAUCACUGCAAGUAAGAGUUUCUCCUUGUUUAGCUUUUAAUUACCACCCGAUCAAUACUUCUCAGCCCUGACUCUGCAGAAGAACCCUCCUGGGCCGGGUUGCACUGGCUGGGUUCACCUCCCCGCAGCCAGGCUGGGAGGGAAGCGCUGCCCUGGGUGGCAGAAGAGCCGUGGCUGCAGGUGGCACGAGGACACCAGCACAGGGGGCUCCGGGAGGGCCCCCAGCCCACCUUGGUUGGGUUUCAGGAGCAGCUCCAUCCUCCAGCCCACGCGUGGACAGCAAAGCCCAGCUUUGAGCAGCAAGCAGCUCCUGCCGGAGUCCAGCUGGAGUACAGGCAGCGCUAACGAUGUUAUUUUUCAUGUUGAGAGGGACUUUAAUUAUUUACGAAGCUCCCAACUAGAUGUUCAGCGAGCCUGGCGCGUGCGCUUCUACCUCUCACUUUCCUCCCCACCUCUCUGCCUGGGGAACAGACGCAUCCCCCACGAGGGGACGGGCACGGCUGUACCCUGCCCACCACCCGCAGUGUCCCUAGCCCCUGCCCUGCCGCCGUCCCCAGCCCCCUGCCCAGCCAAGCCCACCCCGAUGCCAGCAGAGGAACACGAUCAGAGCUAAUGAGUUUGGCCUCGGGCAACCACCUCCACCGUGCCAUUAUUUUUUAUUUUUUCUUGGAGCCUUUCAGUCCAGGGAGCUUGUUGCUCCUCCAGCAUCAACAACAUUAACAAGUUCUGACAUCUCAUAA
rnacentral:lncRNA from 1 species